UACGUAGGGUGCAAGCGUUAAUCGGAAUUACUGGGCGUAAAGCGUGCGCAGGCGGUGAUGUAAGACAGGUGUGAAAUCCCCGGGCUUAACCUGGGAACUGCAUUUGUGACUGCAUCGCUGGAGUGCGGCAGAGGGGGGUGGAAUUCCACGUGUAGCAGUGAAAUGCGUAGAGAUGUGGAGGAACACCGAUGGCGAAGGCAGCCCCCUGGGCCGACACUGACGCUCAGGCACGAAAGCGUGGGGAGCAAACAGG
rnacentral:rRNA from 1 species